GAUGAACGCUGGCGGCGUGCCUAAUACAUGCAAGUCGAGCGAACAGACGAGGAGCUUGCUCCUCUGACGUUAGCGGCGGACGGGUGAGUAACACGUGGAUAACCUACCUAUAAGACUGGGAUAACUUCGGGAAACCGGAGCUAAUACCGGAUAAUAUAUUGAACCGCAUGGUUCAAUAGUGAAAGACGGUUUUGCUGUCACUUAUAGAUGGAUCCGCGCCGCAUUAGCUAGUUGAUAGGUAACGGCUUACCAAGGCGACGAUGCGUAGCCGACCUGAGAGGGUGAUCGGCCACACUGGAACUGAGACACGGUCCAGACUCCUACGGGAGGCAGCAGUAGGGAAUCUUCCGCAAUGGGCGAAAGCCUGACGGAGCAACGCCGCGUGAGUGAUGAAGGUCUUCGGAUCGUAAAACUCUGUUAUUAGGGAAGAACAAAUGUGUAAGUAACUAUGCACGUCUUGACGGUACCUAAUCAGAAAGCCACGGCUAACUACGUG
rnacentral:rRNA from 1 species